AGAGCGAACGCUGGCGGCAGGCCUAAUACAUGCAAGUCGAACGCACCUUCGGGUGAGUGGCGGACGGGUGAGUAACACGUGGGAACGUGCCUUUUGGUUCGGAAUAAUCCGGGGAAACCUGGCCUAAUACCGGAUGUGCCCUUUGGGGGAAAGAUUUAUCGCCAAAAGAGCGGCCCGCGUCUGAUUAGCUAGUUGGUGGGGUAAAGGCCCACCAAGGCUACGAUCAGUAGCUGGUCUGAGAGGAUGAUCAGCCACACUGGGACUGAGACACGGCCCAGACUCCUACGGGAGGCAGCAGUAGGGAAUCUUGCGCAAUGGGCGAAAGCCUGACGCAGCCAUGCCGCGUGAAUGAUGAAGGUCUUAGGAUUGUAAAAUUCUUUCAGCGGGGAAGAUAAUGACUGUACCCGCAGAAGAAGCUCCGGCUAACUUCGCGCCAGCAGCCGC
rnacentral:rRNA from 1 species